AAGCGCAUACGGUGGAUGCCUUGGCAGUCAGAGGCGAUGAAAGACGUGGAAGCCUGCGAUAAGGUUCGGGGAGCUGGCAAACAAGCUGUGAUCCGGGCAUUUCUGAAUGGGGAAACCCACCGACUUUCGGGUCGGUAUCUUACACUGAAUCCAUAGGUGUAAGAGGCGAACCGGGGGAACUGAAACAUCUAAGUACCCCGAGGAAAAGAAAUCAACCG
rnacentral:rRNA from 1 species